GUAUUCUCCAGGAUUUGUAACUUGUUCUCUGAAAUCAGUAAAAGGGUUGCUUCGUUUUCCACAGUGGAUGUAGGCAAGAAAUUUAGCCGAACCACUAUAAUCCUGGUGUCAAGUGCGUGAUCUGAUUUUCUGUGAUUGUGUAAUUGAUUUCAAGUGGGUAUUCUUGUUUCUUGUCAAAACUUAGUUUAGUGAUUAAAUCCUGAACAAAGAUCAAGCUUCAUAGAGUGGGUCUUGGGGGAUCCAAAUUAAUCCUGG
rnacentral:lncRNA from 1 species